GGGGACUUUGGGCCCCAGGGUAACAGCUUGACCUCUGGAGGCACUGGAGACAAAGAUCAGCCACAUGGCAGUCAACCAUGUCUAUCUGACCAAGUUCCAAUGAAAACUCUGGACACCAAGGCUUGUGAGAUAUUUCUCAAAAGACUCCUCUGCGGGAGAGGAGAAUAGAGAAAGAAAGAAAACAACUGUGUAAGCAGACAUCAGUGUAAACCUUAGCACUGUCUCUUGAUGAGAUAAGAGGAGGAUGGCAGUGACAGGAGUGUGGUGGCGAGCCAGUCACCUGCAGUCAACCACGGCUCAUUGCUCUCACCAUGCCUGUUACAUGAAGGUAUGUAUGUAUAGGAAAAAGCACUGAAAAACUCUCCAGUUUCAGGCAUCCACUGGGGAUCCUGGAACGCAUCCUCCAAGGAUAAGUGGGGUCUA
rnacentral:antisense_RNA from 1 species